rnacentral:rRNA from 1 species
CCUACGGGAGGUAGCAGUAAGGAAUAUUGGUCAAUGGGGGCAACCCUGAACCAGCCAUGCCGCGUGCAGGAAGACGGCCCUACGGGUUGUAAACUGCUUUUAUACGGGAAUAAACCUCUCUUCGUGAAGAGAGCUGAAUGUACUGUAAGAAUAAGGAUCGGCUAACUCCGUGCCAGCAGCCGCGGUAAUACGGAGGAUCCAAGCGUUAUCCGGAUUUAUUGGGUUUAAAGGGUGCGUAGGCGGCCUAUUAAGUCAGGGGUGAAAGACGGUGGCUCAACCAUCGCAGUGCCCUUGAUACUGAUGGGCUUGAUUACACUUGAGGUAGGCGGAAUGUGACAAGUAGCGGUGAAAUGCAUAGAUAUGUCACAGAACACCAAUUGCGAAGGCAGCUUACUAAGGUGUUAAUGACGCUGAGGCACGAAAGCGUGGGGAUCAAACAGGAUUAGAUACCCUGGUAGUCCACGCCCUAAACGAUGAAUACUCGAUGUUAGUACGAUAUACUAGUAGUACGUCAAGACGAAGACGUACGAAGUAUUACCUACCGUACGGGUAGGUACGGCCCGCCGACGGGUAGGAACGUACGAAGUAAGUAGUAGUACGNGAGAGACGACGACGACGACGACGACGGAGGAGGAGG